rnacentral:rRNA from 1 species
AGUUUGAUCAUGGCUCAGAUUGAACGCUGGCGGCAUGCCUUACACAUGCAAGUCGAACGGUAACAGGCCGCAAGGUGCUGACGAGUGGCGAACGGGUGAGUAACACAUCGGAACGUGCCUGAUAGUGGGGGAUAACUACUCGAAAGAGUAGCUAAUACCGCAUAAGAUCUCAGGAUGAAAGCAGGGGACCGCAAGGCCUUGCGCUAACAGAGCGGCCGAUGGCAGAUUAGGUAGUUGGUGGGAUAAAAGCUUACCGAGCCGACGAUCUGUAGCUGGUCUGAGAGGACGACCAGCCACACUGGGACUGAGACACGGCCCAGACUCCUACGGGAGGCAGCAGUGGGGAAUUUUGGACAAUGGGCGCAAGCCUGAUCCAGCAAUGCCGCGUGCAGGAUGAAGGCCUUCGGGUUGUAAACUGCUUUUGUACGGAACGAAAAAGCUCUGGUUAAUACCUGGGGCCCAUGACGGUACCGUAAGAAUAAGCACCGGCUAACUACGUG